GGAUUUGGCUGAUCUGUCUGACAGGGUGGAUGUCCUUUACCUCCCUCAAUGCUCCACAUGUGUCACUUGAGAAGUUGUAUGCUAGGGGUAAGAGGACAAGGGUGUAAGAGCAUCUGCACCUCUCUGACAGAACCUCCAAACAAGCUAUCAAGAUAAUACAGUCAAUUUUAAGAGACGAAGGACAAACUACAGAAGUAAAGUAGUAAUUCAAAUUCUCUUU
rnacentral:snRNA from 1 species